rnacentral:lncRNA from 1 species
GGUGGGCCCCACCUGUCAGCGGGUGCGGGCGCGGGCGCUAGGCGGGCUAGGCUGCGGGCGCGCGCGAGGAGUUGGGCCGGUUCGGCCCAAUUCGGCCGGGCCGGUCCGUCUGCUCCUUUUUUUUCUUUUACCCUUUUCUUUUUCUGUUUUUCUUAUUCCUUUGAUAUCUUUUGAUUUUGAACUCCCAAUUGGUCCAAAUAAAUCCCAUAAAAUCAUGUUCUACCAUGAUACAACUUUUGGAAGUAGUUUCCCCUCAAAAUAAAAUAUAUAAAAAUACAUUUGCCCUAUAAAUACCUUUAGGGCUGUAGAUCCAUUUAAAUAAAAUACUUUUUCAACUCCAAAUAAUUAUCCAAAAAUUAUGGGAUGGCUAUAUGUCCAUUAAGCCCCUUUUAUAGAUAAAACCUAUUGGUUUGAAAAUCCAAAGCUCAUAUGGGUGUAAACCCUAGGGUUUAAAAUGAAAUAAAAAAUCUUUCCAAAGCCUUUUGAGAUUCAAAAUUUGAAUUCAAAUAUGCAAUUAUGGCAUGAUGCUCAUGGAAUGCAAUGCACAUGUAAAAGUUUGAAAAUUUGGGAUGUUACAAAUUAUGGUUUUAUUAGCCCAUGUAAUUAUUCGCUACUUUUAGAAAUUUCGCUUUCUGGUUCUACUUGGUACUUGUUUCUGAAAUUGACUUGCGGGGUGGAUCUUACUAUCCCCGUGUGUUUAUGCUUUGUGUUGCCGGGGACUUGCACGCUACUCACUUAACCAGAUCAGGGACCCGGGACGGACCCGCAGUGCCAACCUAGGGUUAAAUAGCAGCGGCGAGCCACUCCACUUGC